rnacentral:rRNA from 1 species
GUCCACGCCCUAAACGAUGUCAACUGGUUGUUGGACGGCUUGCUGUUCAGUAACGAAGCUAACGCGUGAAGUUGACCGCCUGGGGAGUACGGCCACAAGGUUGAAACUCAAAUGAAAUUGACGGGGACCCCGCACAAGCGGUGGAUGAUGUGGUUUAAUUCGAUGCAACGCGAAAACCUUACCUACCCUUGACAUGUCAAGAAUCUUGCAGAGAUGUGAGAGUGCUCGAAAGAGAACUUGAACACAGGUGCUGCAUGGCCGUCGU